rnacentral:rRNA from 1 species
CCAGAUUCUUACGGGAGGCAGCAGUGGGGAAUAUUGCACAAUGGGCGCAAGCCUGAUGCAGCCAUGCCGCGUGUAUGAAGAAGGCCUUCGGGUUGUAAAGUACUUUCAGCAGUGAGGAAGGGGGUGUCGUUAAUAGCGGCAUCUCUUGWCGUUAGCUGCAGAAGAAGCACCGGCUAACUCCGUGCCAGCAGCCGCGGUAAUACGGAGGGUGCGAGCGUUAAUCGGAAUUACUGGGCGUAAAGCGCAUGCAGGUGGUUUGUUAAGUCAGAUGUGAAAGCCCGGGGCUCAACCUCGGAACUGCAUUUGAAACUGGCAAACUAGAGUACUGUAGAGGGGGGUAGAAUUUCAGGUGUAGCGGUGAAAUGCGUAGAGAUCUGAAGGAAUACCAGUGGCGAAGGCGGCCCCCUGGACAGAUACUGACACUCAGAUGCGAAAGCGUGGGGAGCAAACAGGAUUAGAUACCCUGGUAGUCCACGCCGUAAACGAUGUCUACUUGGAGGUUGUGGCCUUGAGCCGUGGCUUUCGGAGCUAACGCGUUAAGUAGACCGCCUGGGGAGUACGGUCGCAAGAUUAAAACUCAAAUGAAUUGACGGGGGCCCGCACAAGCGGUGGAGCAUGUGGUUUAAUUCGAUGCAACGCGAAGAACCUUACCUACUCUUGACAUCCAGAGAACUUAGCAGAGAUGSWUUGGUGCCUUCGGGAACUCUGAGACAGGUGCUGCAUGGCUGUCGUCAGCUCGUGUUGUGAAAUGUUGGGUUAAGUCCCGCAACGAGCGCAACCCUUAUCCUUGUUUGCCAGCGAGUAAUGUCGGGAACUCCAGGGAGACUGCCGGUGAUAAACCGGAGGAAGGUGGGGACGACGUCAAGUCAUCAUGGCCCUUACGAGUAGGGCUACACACGUGCUACAAUGGCGCAUACAGAGGGCAGCCAACUCGCGAGAGUGAGCGAAUCCCAAAAAGUGCGUCGUAGUCCGGAUUGGAGUCUGCAACUCGACUCCAUGAAGUCGGAAUCGCUAGUAAUCGUAGAUCAGAAUGCUACGGUGAAUACGUUCCCGGGCCUUGUACACACCGCCCGUCACACCAUGGGAGUGGGCUGCAAAAGAAGUGGGUAGUUUAACCUUCGGGAGGACGCUC